rnacentral:rRNA from 1 species
AUGCAAGUCGAGCGGGGAAAGGUAGCUUGCUACUGGACCUAGCGGCGGACGGCUGUGUAAUGCUUAGGAAUCUGCCUAUUAGUGGGGGACAACGUUUCGAAGGGAACGCUAAUACCGCAUACGCCCUACGGGGGAAAGCAGGGGAUCUUCGGACCUUGCGCUAAUAGAUGAGCCUAAGUCGGAUUAGCUAGUUGGUGGGGUAAAGGCCUACCGAGGCGACGAUCUGUAGCGGGUCUGAGAGGAUGAUCCGCCACACUGGGACUGAGACACGGCCCAGACUCCUACGGGAGGCAGCAGUGGGGAAUAUUGGACAAUGGGCGAAAGCCUGAUCCAGCCAUGCCGCGUGUGUGAAGAAGGCCUUUUGGUUGUAAAGCACUUUAAGCGAGGAGGAGGCUACUUGGAUUAAUACUCUAGGAUAGUGGACGUUACUCGCAGAAUAAGCACCGGCUAACUCUGUGCCAGCAGCCGCGGUAAUACAGAGGGUGCGAGCGUUAAUCGGAUUUACUGGGCGUAAAGCGUGCGUAGGCGGCCUUUUAAGUCGGAUGUGAAAUCCCUGAGCUUAACUUAGGAAUUGCAUUCGAUACUGGGAAGCUAGAGUAUGGGAGAGGAUGGUAGAAUUCCAGGUGUAGCGGUGAAAUGCGUAGAGAUCUGGAGGAAUACCGAUGGCGAAGGCAGCCAUCUGGCCUAAUACUGACGCUGAGGUACGAGAGCAUGGGGGGGCAACAGGAUUAGAUACCCUGGUAGUCCAUGCCGUAAACGAUGUCUACUAGCCGUUGGGGCCUUUGAGGCUUUAGUGGCGCAGCUAACGCGAUAAGUAGACCGCCUGGGGAGUACGGUCGCAAGACUAAAACUCAAAUGAAUUGACGGGGGCCCGCACAAGCGGUGGAGCAUGUGGUUUAAUUCGAUGCAACGCGAAGAACCUUACCUGGUCUUGACAUAGUAAGAACUUUCCAGAGAUGGAUUGGUGCCUUCGGGAACUUACAUACAGGUGCUGCAUGGCUGUCGUCAGCUCGUGUCGUGAGAUGUUGGGUUAAGUCCCGCAACGAGCGCAACCCUUUUCCUUAUUUGCCAGCGGGUUAAGCCGGGAACUUUAAGGAUACUGCCAGUGACAAACUGGAGGAAGGCGGGGACGACGUCAAGUCAUCAUGGCCCUUACGACCAGGGCUACACACGUGCUACAAUGGUCGGUACAAAGGGUUGCUACCUAGCGAUAGGAUGCUAAUCUCAAAAAGCCGAUCGUAGUCCGGAUUGGAGUCUGCAACUCGACUCCAUGAAGUCGGAAUCGCUAGUAAUCGCGGAUCAGAAUGCCGCGGUGAAUACGUUCCCGGGCCUUGUACACACCGCCCGCAACGCCAUGGGAAUUUGUGCACCAGAAGUAGGUAGUCUAACCGCAAGGAGGACGCUA